rnacentral:rRNA from 1 species
UAGCGGAGCGUGUGGUUUAAUUCGACUAACACGAAGAACCUUACCAGGACUUGACAUGUACAGGCAAUCCGUGGAAACACGGCCCUCCCUAUGGGACCUGUACACAGGUGCUGCAUGGCUGUCGUCCAGCUCGUGCCGUGAGGUGUUGGGUUAAGUCCCGCAACGAGCGCAACCCUCGUCGCCAGUUAUACGUGUCUGGCGAGACCGCCGGGAGAAACCCGGAGGAAGGUGGGGAUGAUGUCAAGUCAGCAUGGCCCUUACGCCCUGGGCUACACACACGCUACAAUGGCCGGUACAGAGGGUUGCCAAACCGCGAGGUGGAGCCAAUCCCCAAAAACCGGUCCCAGUUCGGAUUGCAGGCUGCAACCCGCCUGCAUGAAGUCGGAGUUGCUAGUAACCGCAUAA